rnacentral:rRNA from 1 species
UACAGAGGCCUCGAGCGUUAGGCGGAAUCAUUGGGCGUAAAGCGCGUGUAGGCGGUCCGGUAAGUCCGCUGUGAAAGUCGGGGGCUCAACCCUCGGAUGCCGGUGGAUACUGUCGGGCUUGAGUACGGAAGAGGCGAGUGGAAUUCCUGGUGUAGCGGUGAAAUGCGCAGAUAUCAGGAGGAACACCAAUUGCGAAGGCAGCUCGCUGGGACGUUACUGACGCUGAGACGCGAAAGCGUGGGGAGCAAACAGG